rnacentral:rRNA from 1 species
AACGAACGCUGGCGGCAGGCCUAACACAUGCAAGUCGAGCGCCCCGCAAGGGGAGCGGCGGACGGGUGAGUAACGCGUGGGAAUAUGCCCUUUGCUACGGAAUAGUCUCGGGAAACUGGGGGUAAUACCGUAUACGCCCUUUGGGGGAAAGAUUUAUCGGCGAAGGAUUAGCCCGCGUUGGAUUAGGUAGUUGGUGGGGUGAUGGCCUACCAAGCCGACGAUCCAUAGCUGGUUUGAGAGGAUGAUCAGCCACACUGGGACUGAGACACGGCCCAGACUCCUACGGGAGGCAGCAGUGGGGAAUCUUAGACAAUGGGGGCAACCCUGAUCUAGCCAUGCCGCGUGAGUGAUGAAGGCCUUAGGGUUGUAAAGCUCUUUCAGCUGGGAAGAUAAUGACGGUACCAGCAGAAGAAGCCCCGGCUAACUCCGUG